UAAAUCCUGUGACUCCUCACAAGGAUUGCCCUAGCCAAGGUCUUACUAAAUUAAAAUGCAAAGCAUUCUCUCCAAUCUCUUGGAGUGGUCAAUUCUAUUUUGACUCAUGCACGGCCUUCACAAGUACUUGACUAUGUCCAGAAACCUUCUGAUCCUGAUUUAAAAAUUCAGAUAGUUCGGCACCAAAGCACAGUAAGUUGCUUCAAGUCACCAUGGUGAUCUU
rnacentral:lncRNA from 1 species